rnacentral:rRNA from 1 species
GUAAACCAAGGCAGUUCCUAAACCCACUGCUCGCCAGAGAACUACAAGUAAAAAACUUAAAACUCAAAGGACUUGACGGCAUACCAUAUCACCCUAGAGGAGCCUGUCCUAUAAUCGAUAACCCACGAUACACCUCACCUGUUCUUGCUCCAUGCUCAGCCUAUAUACCGCCGCCUUCAGCCCGCCUUACAAAAGCACAAACAGCGAGCAAAACAGCCAUCACUAAUACGCCAGGUCAAGGUGUAGCCAAUGAACAGGAAGAGAUGGGCUACAUUUUCUAGCUUAGACAACACCUACAACAACAUGAAACACCCGCCUAAAGGUGGAUUAGAAGUAAGCCAGGCAAGAUACGC